CGCCCAAGAGCUAGCCCGCCUCACCAUAAUCAACAAACCCCUAUUCAUAAACCCCCACGCACUAAAAACGCUAAACAAACCAUUUUACCCUCCUAGUAUGGGCGACAGAAAAGAGCCUACGGCGCUAUAAAGAAAGUACCGCAAGGGAAAGCUGAAAGAGAAAUGAAACAACCCAGUAAAGCUUAGAAAAGCAGAGAUUACCUCUCGUACCUUUUGCAUCAUGACUUAGUUAGCAAAAUUUGAGCGAAACUUGUUUUAGUUUAAAACCCCGAAACUAAGUGAGCUACUCCAAGACAGCCUACGAACCAGGGCACACCCUUCUCUGUGGCAAAAGAGUGGGAAGAGCUUCGAGUAGCGGUGACAGACCUACCGAACUUAGUUAUAGCUGGUUGCUUGAGAAAUGGAUAGGAGUUCAGCCCUCAGGGUUCUUCCUUCAACCUGGUAUUACCACCACUCGUUGAACAAGAAACCUAAGGAGUUAGUCAACGGGGGUACAGCCCCUUUGAAAAAAGACACAACUUUCCCAGGAGGAUAAAGAUCAUAAUAAACAAGGACAGAAUGUUAGGGUGGGCCUAAAAGCAGCCAUCCCUGCAGAAUGCGUUAAAGCUCAGACAUUUUUUAUAAUCCUUCGAUCCUGAUAACCUUAUCUUAACCCCUAGUAUUAUCAAGCCAUCCCAUGCCCCCAUGGGAGUGAUCCUGCUAACAUGAGUAAUAAGAGAGCAAGACUCUCUCCCUGGCACAAGUGUACAUCGGAACGAACCGCCACCGAAACUUAACGGCCCCAACAGAAGAGGGCACUGGACGACGAAACACCAAACCGGAAAAGUAUCCAGCAACUAACCGUUAACCCCACACUGGUGUGCCUGAUGGGAAAGGCUAAAAGAAAAAGAAGGAACUCGGCAAACACCUGAAGCCUCGCCUGUUUACCAAAAACAUCGCCUCUUGCAAA
rnacentral:rRNA from 1 species